rnacentral:rRNA from 1 species
UGGGGAAUAUUGGGCAAUGGGGGGAACCCUGACCCAGCGACGCCGCGUGAGGGAAGAAGGUUUUCGGAUCGUAAACCUCUGUUGUACGGGAAGAAGGAAGUGACGGUACCGUACGAGGAAGCCCCGGCAAACUACGUGCCAGCAGCCGCGGUAACACGUAGGGGGCGAGCGUUGUCCGGAAUUACUGGGCGUAAAGGGCGCGCAGGCUGUUAUGCGAGUCUGCUGUGAAAUGUACCGGCUCAACCGGUGCCUUGCGGCGGAUACUGCAUAGCUGGAGUACUGGAGAGGGAAGUGGAAUUCCGGGUGUAGUGGUGAAAUGCGUAGAUAUCCGGAGGAACACCAGUGGCGAAAGCGGCCUCCUGGCUCAAAACUGACGCUCAGACGCGAAAGCUAGGGUAGCAA